AACGAACGCUGGCGGCAUGCCUAACACAUGCAAGUCGAACGAGACCUUCGGGUCUAGUGGCGCACGGGUUCGUAACGCGUGGGAACCUGCCCUUAGGUUCGGAAUAACUCCCCGAAAGGGGUGCUAAUACCGGAUAAUGUCUUCGGACCAAAGAUUUAUCGCCUUUGGAUGGGCCCGCGUUGGAUUAGCUAGUUGGUAGGGUAAAAGCCUACCAAGGCGACGAUCCAUAGCUGGUCUGAGAGGAUGAUCAGCCACACUGGGACUGAGACACGGCCCAGACUCCUACGGGAGGCAGCAGUGGGGAAUAUUGGACAAUGGGCGAAAGCCUGAUCCAGCAAGGCCGCGUGAGUGAUGAAGGCCUUAGGGUUGUAAAGCUCUUUUACCCGGGAUGAUAAUGACAGUACCGGGAGAAUAAGCUCCGGCUAACUCCGUG
rnacentral:rRNA from 1 species